CACGAAGCAAAGCGCAUUGCGGGGUAAGCAGGUCAGGGGUUCGAAACCCUUUGUAGCUGCUGCAUUUUAUGAAUGAUUAAUAAGUAAAGUUUUUUUAAAAAAGCCAUCAACAAUUUCCCUCUCCUCACCUCAUUGCUCGACAUCCUCACUUCUCAGCUCAUUCUUCUCUUCCCCAUUCUUCUCUCAAUUUUGACAAAAAUUCAAUCCAAAUCACCCCAAAUCUUCACAUACUUACGUUUGGAGCACUCCUCUUUGAUUGUUUGGCAAUUCUAAGGUGUUUUUCUUUUGUCGUUUCAACCUCUCGGACAUUUUUGGAAUUGAGCUUGAGCUUCAAGUGUCGCCCUAUACUUUGGCUUCUAUGGUGAAUAAGUUGUCCAAAAAGAUCGGAGUAAACCACUAUUCCAUGGAGCAUCACAACUUAGGGAGGAAGUUGACGCAACUAGGCAGAGUACUUGAAUCGACAGAUGUGUGGCAGCGCAGUUCCAGGUUCUUGGCGACAUU